AAAGGGUCGCGAUCUCGCGAGGGUGAGCUAACUCCAAAAACCCGUCCUCAGUUCGGAUUGCAGGCUGCAACUCGCCUGCAUGAAGCAGGAAUCGCUAGUAAUCGCCGGUCAGCCAUACGGCGGUGAAUCCGUUCCCGGGCCUUGUACACAUCGCCCGUCACACUAUAGGAGCUGGCCAUGUUUGAAGUCAUUACCCUUAACCGUAAGGAGGGGGAUGCCUAAGGCUAGGCUUGCGACUGG
rnacentral:ncRNA from 1 species